rnacentral:rRNA from 1 species
GACGAACGCUGGCGGCGUGCUUAACACAUGCAAGUCGAACGGAAAGGCCCCUUUGGGGGUACUCGAGUGGCGAACGGGUGAGUAACACGUGAGUAACCUGCCCUUGACUUCGGGUUAACUUCAGGAAACUGGGGCUAAUACCGGAUAGGAAUCCUUGCUUCCUGGUGGGGGUUGGAAAGCUUCAGCGGUUUUGGAUGGACUCGCGGCUUAUCAGCUUGUUGGUGGGGUAGUGGCUUACCAAGGCUUUGACGGGUAGCCGGCCUGAGAGGGCGACCGGCCACAUUGGGACUGAGAUACGGCCCAGACUCCUACGGGAGGCAGCAGGGGGGAAUAUUGCACAAUGGGCGGAAGCCUGAUGCAGCAACGCCGCGUGCGGGAUGACGGCCUUCGGGUUGUAAACCGCUUUCAGCAGGGGCGAAGCUUGUGGUGACGGUACCUGCAGAAGAAGCACCGGCUAACUACGUG